UCCGGUUUGUCACCGGCGGUCUCCUUAGAGUUCCCACCAUUACGUGCUGGCAACUAAGGACAAGGGUUGCGCUCGUUGCAGGACUUAACCCAACAUCUCACGACACGAGCUGACGGCAGCCAUGCAGCACCUGUGUGAGGCCCCGAAGGACACCACGUCUCCGUGGCUUUUCCGUACAUGUCAAGCCCAGGUAAGGUUCUUCGCGUUGCCUCGAAUUAAGCCACAUGCUCCGCCGCUUGUGCGGGCCCCCGUCAAUUCCUUUGAGUUUUAGCCUUGCGGCCGUACUCCCCAGGCGGGGUACUUAAUGCGUUAGCUACGGCACGGAACCUGUUGACAAGGCCCCACACCUAGUACCCAACGUUUACGGCGUGGACUAC
rnacentral:misc_RNA from 1 species